GCAAAUUGAAGCUCAAUUUAUCCCCUUCAAAAUGAUGUUUAUCAAAUUUGAUUCUGUUGAUUUUUGACCGAGUUAUCGAACUUUUAGUGUGGGUAAAAAUUUCGACCAGUGAACCCAAACUUUUGAACGGAAGUGUACAUUUCCAUUAUCAGAUGUAUUGCUAUGACAACGUCGGCCUUUUUUUUGACACAGCAGAAAUGGCCUCUCACGCAAUUGCUACACUUUUGACCGCUACUACCCGUCUAGUCGGGUUCAGAAUAAUAUAAUCUAACGAUUCAAUACAGUUUUAGCCGUAUUGUUGUCGCACAUGGUUUAGGUCGUAGGCUCUCUAACUAUAGCUGCACCAGCACGGAUUCUGGAUAACAUAUCGCUAUUAUAUGCAAUAACGAUAUAAUGCAUUAUAUCGUUUUUUGGCGUAGAAACCGCAACAAAUCUCCAAACUGAAGCCACCUCCUUGCAGAAUUUAGGGAACAAUCAAGAGACUCGGUAGAGUCUCAGGACAAGUACAUUGACAGCUCUGUCGUCUCCUGGCCUGAUUUCAUUAUCCGAAGACACGUCAUUGGGAGCUUUUCAGCAAGUGACAACGAGUGACGAAGUGGGUGCUUUCCAAUUAGAGUGCAUACUUCAGCUUUAUGGAAAAGAAACUUUUGUUGGGCGACGAAACUUACACAGCCACACAAAAAUCGAUUUUCAGGUUCGAGAAUGAAACUGUCUGUUUAAACCCAGCAGGUCAGGUUCAAGGUUAUUACAAGGUCAAAUUGAGAAAAACCGU